GGGGGUUUGGGGUAGUCCGGUAUCCUCGCGGGCUCCAGACCCGCUGAUGUGGGUUCAAAUCCCACAACCCCCA
rnacentral:tRNA from 2 species